rnacentral:rRNA from 1 species
GAUGAACGCUGGCGGCGUGCCUAAUACAUGCAAGUCGAGCGAACAGACGAGGAGCUUGCUCCACUGACGUUAGCGGCGGACGGGUGAGUAACACGUGGAUAACCUACCUAUAAGACUGGGAUAACUUCGGGAAACCGGAGCUAAUACCGGAUAAUAUAUUGAACCGCAUGGUUAAUAAGUGAAAGACGGUCUUGAUGUCACUUAUAGAAGGAUCCUCGCCGCAUUAGCUAGUGGGUAAGCUAACAGCUCACCAAGGCAACGUUGCGUAGCUGACGUGAGAGGGUGAUCAGCCAGACUGGCAGACGACGAAGGUCCAGACUAAUACGAGAGUCAGCAGUAGGAACUUGUCCGCAAGGGGGGAAAUCCUACCGGAACAACGCCGCGUGAAUGGUGAAACUCUUCUGAUCGUAAAACUCUUUUAUUAAGGAAGACCAAAUGUGUAAGUAUAUAUGCACGUCUUGACGAUACCGAAUCAGAAAGCCACGGCUAACUACGUG